rnacentral:rRNA from 1 species
GAUGAACGCUGGCGGUGUGCCUAAUACAUGCAAGUCGAGCGAAUGACGAGGAGCUUGCUCCUCUGAUUUAGCGGCGGACGGGUGAGUAACACGUGGGUAACCUGCCUGUAAGACGGGGAUAACUCCGGGAAACCGGAGCUAAUACCGGAUGAUAACGAGAAGCGCCUGUUUCUUUUUUGAAAGUCGGUUUCGGCUGACGCUUACAGAUGGGCCCGCGGCGCAUUAGCUAGUUGGUGAGGUAAAGGCUCACCAAGGCGACGAUGCGUAGCCGACCUGAGAGGGUGAUCGGCCACACUGGGACUGAGACACGGCCCAGACUCCUACGGGAGGCAGCAGUAGGGAAUCUUCGGCAAUGGACGAAAGUCUGACCGAGCAACGCCGCGUGAGCGAUGAAGGCCUUCGGGUCGUAAAGCUCUGUUGUCAGAGAAGAACAAGUACCGGAGUAACUGCCGGUACCUUGACGGUACCUGACCAGAAAGCCACGGCUAACUACGUGCCAGCAGCCGCUGUAAAAC